rnacentral:rRNA from 1 species
GACGAACCGAGCGAACGUUGUUCGGAAUCACUGGGCUUAAAGGGCGCGUAGGCGGGCCGCCGCGUCCGGGGUGAAAUCCUCCCGCUCAACGGGAGAACGGCCUCGGAUACGGGCGGCCUGGAGGGGGGUAGGGGCGUGCGGAACUGUGGGUGGAGCGGUGAAAUGCGUUGAGAUCCACAGGAACUCCGGUGGCGAAGGCGGCACGCUGGACCCCACCUGACGCUGAGGCGCGAAAGCCAGGGGAGCGAACGGGAUUAGAAACCCGCGUAGUCC